UACGGGGGGGGCAAGCGUUGUUCGGAAUUACUGGGCGUAAAGCGUGCGCAGGCGGCCAUGCAAGACAGAUGUGAAAUCCCCGGGCUCAACCUGGGAACUGCAUUUGUGACUGCAUGGCUAGAGUACGGCAGAGGGGGAUGGAAUUCCGCGUGUAGCAGUGAAAUGCGUAGAUAUGCGGAGGAACACCGAUGGCGAAGGCAAUCCCCUGGGCCUGUACUGACGCUCAUGCACGAAAGCGUGGGGAGCAAACAGG
rnacentral:rRNA from 1 species